UUUUGUGGACAAAGGCUAACAUCGCCAUCUACAGAUUAUUUACAGUAAUUACCUUUUUUGACGAAAACUCGUUAUUUCACAUACGUUGUGUGCAACAUUAAUUUAUACUUUACUGUAGCAAGAUAGCUGAGACCGUUAAUUUAAAAAACAAACAGAAUCCUGAUACUGUAAAGAUACGUAGCUCAACAGCUACGGUUAGGCUUGAUUAGCUUUCUUGUUCAUUGAUUUAAAAAAAGAUGGUAUGUAAAGUUAAGCAUGUUAUCAUACAUUUCUAAAAUAUUACUGAUGCUUGAACAAUGUUUCCAACCUCCUUUGUAUCGUUCAUCCUUUUUUCUAAACCAAAUUACUGCUGAACAAAAUACCACCAUGACUACGGAUAAGUGGCUGUACUUGUCCGAACUGGUCCCAGCAUUCAAUGGCCAUGAUGAAGGCUUUACCAGACAUGUUCCCAUCACCUGUGGCUCCACACAAGACAUUAGGACAUGCAAGUUGAGGCUAUGCUUCACAUCCUUGAGUCUACUCCUUUCUUCAGACGAGACCACUCUUCAGCCCUGUCGUUACUUGGAACCAUGCCUGUGGUGAUCUUCCCGAAAGAGGACAUCUAUGCCAGUGUGAUGCAUCUCAUGACGUGUUAUUACACCUUUCACCUCACAUAUCCUAAGCGCAUUGCGACACUCCUCUCUGUGCUGCAGACAGAAGUCCUCGCGGACGCCAUCCACAACUGCAACAUGAUUUCCUCAUAUAAAAAGACUAUGGCAGAGUGGAAAACGUUUAUCCCUGACUAGGGUUGCGCAUUACAUUUUGCGAUAACCUCUGUGUAUUGACCAAUCAGAGAUCAGAUAACCUUAAAUAUAUAGGCAGGCCAUUUUUGUUUAUUAUGAGAAACACUGCCAACUUCCCUCAGAGAUCUCCUUUGAGUAGUUGGCAAAAUUCAGAGAACAGACCACAAAUGGCCUCAAGUCUGUGAUAUCUGUUAUGAAAACAAUUUCCAAUUAUCUAUAUUUAGAGAUCAAUUAAAAUAUUGAUUUUACUAGCAAUUUCAUAUAAAGUACAAUGCACAAAAUAUAAACACCUAUUAUGAGACAUGUUUGUAAUUGGCAGACAAUUCUCAUUUCUUAUUUCAGUUGGUUGAAAGAUGAUGUUGGUAACCUGGAUUCCCACAUCUCCCAAGUCUUGACUGAUGUUUAUUAAAUAAUUAGGAUUGUUUAGAAUUUUCCUCAAUAUGGGUUCCAGUUCAUAGUUGAGGAAAUUAAUUGGAGAUGCAUUUUUGGGGUAGGUAUAUUGAGCAAUGCUUUCUGCAACAAUACUUCCAGCUCUGGAAGAACAAACUCAUUUUGAGUAAAUGUCAAAAUAUAUUGAAUAAA